GGGCAAGAUAUGUGGAGAUGGCCAUCUCCACGCAAACUUUAUUCGCACAUAACUGUGCUCAACGUUGAUCUUGCUCUACGAGGUA
rnacentral:ncRNA from 1 species